UACGGAGGGUGCAAGCGUUAUCCGGAUUCACUGGGUUUAAAGGGUGCGUAGGUGGGCUAGUAAGUCCGUGGUUAAAUCUCCAAGCUUAACUUGGAAACUGCCGUGGAUACUAUUAGUCUUGAAUAUUGUGGAGGUAAGCGGAAUAUGUCAUGUAGCGGUGAAAUGCUUAGAUAUCAAGUGGAACACCAGUGGCGAAGGCGAGUCCCUGGACAACACCUGACACUGAGGCACGAAAGCUAGGGGAGCAAACAGG
rnacentral:rRNA from 1 species